GCUGGUGUGGCUCAGUGGAUAGAGCGUCGGCCUGUGGACCGAAGGGUCCCCAGUUUGAUUCUGGUCAAGGGCA
rnacentral:tRNA from 1 species